UACGUAGGGGGCAAGCGUUGUCCGGAUUUAUUGGGCGUAAAGAGCGUGUAGGCGGCCAUACAGGUCAGCUGUGAAAACUCGAGGCUCAACCUCGAGACGUCGGUUGAAACCGUAUGGCUAGAGUCCGGAAGAGGAGAGUGGAAUUCCCGGUGUAGCGGUGAAAUGCGCAGAUAUCGGGAAGAACACCCGUGGCGAAGGCGGCUCUGUGGGACGGUACUGACGCUGAGACGCGAAAGCGUGGGGAGCGAACAGG
rnacentral:rRNA from 1 species